UACAGAGGUCCCAAGCGUUGUUCGGAUUCACUGGGCGUAAAGGGUGCGUAGGUGGCUUGGAAAGUUUGAUGUGGAAGCUCAGGGCUCAACCCUGAAAUGGCAUUGAAUACUAUCGAGCUGGAGGUUUGGAGGGGGGACUGGAACUCUUGGUGUAGCAGUGAAAUGCGUAGAUAUCAAGAGGAACACCAGUGGCGAAGGCGAGUCCCUGGACAACACCUGACACUGAGGCACGAAAGCCGGGGGAGCAAACAGG
rnacentral:rRNA from 1 species